UACGUAGGGUGCGAGCGUUAAUCGGAAUUACUGGGCGUAAAGCGUGCGCAGGCGGCGCGUUAAGACAGGUGUGAAAGCCCCGAGCUUAACUUGGGAAUUGCGCUUGUGACUGGCGUGCUGGAGUGUGGCAGAGGAAGGUGGAAUUCCAGGUGUAGCGGUGAAAUGCGUAGAGAUCUGGAGGAACACCGAUGGCGAAGGCAGCCUUCUGGGCCAACACUGACGCUCAUGCACGAAAGCGUGGGGAGCAAACAGG
rnacentral:rRNA from 1 species